rnacentral:lncRNA from 1 species
GGGAAAAUGAAGGGAGGUAUUCGCUAUUGAGUUGAGAUUUGAAACUAUCAACCCUUGCCGAACUACGGAUUCGUUUUCGACAGCAAGGUCUUGUUCUGUGGAAUUCGAAGUAAAAAUAUGAUUGACGGCAUAGAGUGAAAGUAGAGAUGAAGCUUAAAGGACAGAGAAUUGACUAACUGGAGGACACACUGGUUGGAUGGUAUGAUUAUUUUACGUCCAGAGCUUACUAUAACAGUACCUUACUUUACAA